rnacentral:rRNA from 1 species
UACGAAGGGGGGCUAGCGUUGCUCGGAAUUACUGGGCGUAAAGGGCGCGUAGGCGGAUGUUUUAAGUCGGGGGGUGAAAGCCCGGGGCUCAACCUCGGAAUUGCCUUCGAUACUGGACAUCUUGAGUACGGGAGAGGUGAGUGGAACUCCGAGUGUAGAGGUGAAAUUCGUAGAUAUUCGGAAGAACACCAGUGGCGAAGGCGACUCACUGGCCCGUUACUGACGCUGAGGCGCGAAAGCGUGGGGAGCAAACAGG